CAGGAAGAAUUCAUCACAUCUGUCAUCAUCAGCUGCUGUCUGAAUCCAGAUGUUUCCCGGAUCAGAACCAGCAGCAGCAGGUUUCCAGCUCCUCAAGUCACCAGGAAGUCUGAGGUCCGUGUGAAAACCAACACGUUAGCGACCUGGCUGUGAUUGGUCAGAACGCCCGACGCUGCCGACCAAUCGGAUCAGAACCAGGAAACAAAGAGAACCUUCAGCUCUGCAGCCGGACAGAGAACCUGCAGAUUUAACCCCUUAAUGGACGGAAAGAAGAUUCCUGCUGACACCAGAGACGGAGCACCAAAGACAGAAAAUUAACAUCAACUGAAAACGACAGUAAACAGCAACUGAAAACGUAAGUAAACAAUGACUGAAAAUGUACAGUAAAACACAACUAAAACAACAACUGUAAAUGACUAAAAACACAAGUAUAAACAACAGUAAACAGCAACUGAAAAUGACAGUAAACACAACUAUAAACAACAGUAAACAGCGACUGAAAACACAACUAUAAACAACAGUAAACAGCAACUGAAAAC